rnacentral:misc_RNA from 1 species
CAUCUUGCAAAUGAAACAAUCCAAGGAAAUUUAUGUAUCCAGAAUGUGCAAGUCGAGUCCAAUUUUUCCAAUUCUGAACCAAACAGUCAAAGGAAUGUUGUUACUAAUGAAGAUCGACAAUGCUUUUUACCUAGUAAUGAGGUUCCACCUAUUGGCCACGAAUCAUCAACACAUUCCACCCCUCGGUCACUAGAAAAUCAGCUGAACUCAAAUGAUAGGUUGCAGAUUUUCAUUGAAUCAAUCACAAACACACCAGAGCCGCCCCUCAUCCUGUCCCCUCCGAACAGCAACACACUUGCCA